AAAGAGGAAUCCGAAAAUCUUCAAGAGUAGGAA
rfam:Anopheles darlingi Cont8079, whole genome shotgun sequence.